rnacentral:lncRNA from 1 species
CCGCCUCCUCCACUCAUCUGGCCACAGACUCCCUGAACCCUCCACCACCAAAUUCUCGAAAUUCCCUCCCCGCCCAUCUAUCUCGACGGUAGUGUUGGACCGCUCGCUGGAGAGUAGAAGAGGUGGUCUCGUACUUUAUAUCUUCCGCGUCAACCACCUGUACUUUAGAGUUGAUAAUGGCGAUAUGUGAGGCAUGGACAUUAAUUUUUCACAGUGUUGGAGAAGAGGGAGCUCGUUGGAGAAGAAGAUGUUACGUUUUUUAUUUUAAUAUUUCUUUUGUAAGGAUAGUUCAGCCAUUUCAUAUAAGUCAACAUUCAAUUUUGAAAUAGGGGCUGGUGUGCUUUGGAAAAUACAAUAUAGGGGGUUUUUUGCUAAAAUUUUUAACACGAGGUGUUUUUCACCAAUUAGAAAUAACAC